rnacentral:rRNA from 1 species
CCUACGGGUGGCAGCAGUGGGGAAUAUUGCACAAUGGGGGAAACCCUGAUGCAGCGACGCCGCGUGAGCGAUGAAGUAUUUCGGUAUGUUAAGCUCCAUUAGCAGGGAAGAAAACGACGGUACCUGACUCUGAAGCCCCGGCUCACUACGUGCCAGCAGCCGCGGUAAUACGCAGGGGGCAAGCGUUAUCCGGAUUUACUGGGCGUAAAGGGGGCGUAGGCGGCGGUGCAAGGCAGAGGUGAAAGCCCGGGGCUCAACCCCGGGACUGCAUUUGAAACUGUGCUGCUAGAGAGUCGGAGAGGCAGGCGGAAUUCCUAGUGUAGCGGUGAAAUGCGUAGAGAUUAGGAGGAACACCAGUGGCGAAGGCGGCCUGCUGGACGAUGACUGACGUUGAGGCACGAAAGCGUGGGGAGCAAACAGGAUUAGAUACCCGUGUAGUC